rnacentral:lncRNA from 1 species
GACAACCAGAGAUAUUGUACUGGGACCUUCCUCCUCUUUCUACCCUGGUGCAGUUAACCUGCCCUUUGCUGUCCUCCUGGAUUUCAUACUGCAAGCACGCCAAGCUCGUCAGCCUAUUUCUUUGGAAAAAAGAUUUCCUUUGAAGCCCUUCCAAAGGUGCUGAUGUCACUGGAAGCCUUACUUUCCCUGAGGGGCUUUGGAUCAGGUCUUUAAUGUGUAUUUGUUUCACCACGGCAACACAAACCAGUCAUGGAAACAAACCUACUGGUCAUGGAAAACCAAUGGAUGCUAUUCGGAAACUGCUUGUCCCUCAAAAUGGCUGUAGACUCCGUAUCCAGACAGUCUUUGGCAGUGAUUUCUGGAGUUUUCAGUGAAUCGGAGUUCUCUGUUGGGACAGUGCUCUCUCCGGCUCUAUUUCUGAGGUUGCUGCAGCGCUACUUUCAGACGAUGAAGUAUCCUGCUAAGGUUAUAGGAGAUGCAACUGGAGCUCUAUUUCAGGCAAAGCUAAGGAAGCUUUGUGAAGGCAAAAGCAGUUUUGCUUGAUCGUUGCCUGCUAUUCAUUUGCCAAAGUCUUAUCAGCCAUUAUAAUGUCAGCAGAAAGCCAGGCAUGUACACAGCUUGUCAUCUCAGAGAUUCACUAAGGAUGGGCUUUGGAAAAGGAUUAUGCUGAAUUUUCUUUUCAUCUCUAUUUAUGAAUUUUUUGGCUUGGUUAUACAAUGUGCCAAUCUUGUGCUUGCCUAGAGGGAAUAUGAACCACAAUAUUUUUCUUGCCAGCUAUUUCCUGAAUACCUGUGGUAACAGUUUCCAAGGGGCUGUGUAACUUCUUUUUUUUUUUGAAGUAUUGCAGCAGCAGUGCUCACAGCGAACUGCAGAGAAUAGAAGGAGAAUUAAGUUGCUACAAAUUGAAGAGCUAGGAAAAUAUAACUUACCCUCACCUGGAAAAUAAGCCACAGCACACAGCAGACCCUUUUAAAUGAAGCGUACAAGUAAGCAAAUGCCAGUGUGGCUGCAUAUCUUGUGGAACUGCUUCAUGAGCACAGUUUCCACUGCCAGGCCAUCUACGUUGCAUGAGCCACAAUCAGUCAAUUUUACAAAAGUGCGCAAUUUUGCAUUGUGAGGGUAAGGCAUACCAUGCGUCCGUUGUAGUUUGCUACGUGGUAUUCAUGUUAUAAAUAGCAAAAGGGAACUAAAAAGAGUUGCUCCUUUUGUUCACCCACGCAGGCUUUUGAAGUCAAGCAACUGCUUAGUGCUGUGGUCUUUGGCUCCAACAAUAA